rnacentral:rRNA from 1 species
AACUGAAGAGUUUGAUCAUGGCUCAGAUUGAACGCUGGCGGCAGGCUUAACACAUGCAAGUCGAGCGGAGAGAGGUAGCUUGCUACUGAUCUUAGCGGCGGACGGGUGAGUAAUACUUAGGAAUCUGGCUAUUAGUGGGGGACAACAUUUCGAAAGGGAUGCUAAUACCGCAUACGUCCUACGGGAGAAAGCAGGGGAUCUUCGGACCUUGCGCU